GUGGGGAAUCUUCCGCAAUGGACGAAAGUCUGACGGAGCAACGCCGCGUGAGUGAUGAAGGUCUUCGGAUUGUAAAGCUCUGUUAAUCGGGACGAAAGAGCCUAGUGUGAAUAAUGCUAGGAAGUGACGGUACCGGAAUAGAAAGCCACGGCUAACUACGUGCCAGCAGCCGCGGUAAUACGUAGGUGGCAAGCGUUGUCCGGAAUUAUUGGGCGUAAAGCGCGCGCAGGCGGAUCUGCCAGUCUGUCUUAAAAGUUCGGGGCUUAACCCCGUGAUGGGAUGGAAACUAGAGAACUAGAGUGUCGGAGAGGAAAGUGGAAUUCCUAGUGUAGCGGUGAAAUGCGUAGAUAUUAGGAAGAACACCAGUGGCGAAGGCGACUUUCUGGACGAAAACUGACGCUGAGGCGCGAAAGCCAGGGGAGCGAACGGGAUUAGAAACCCCUGUAGUCC
rnacentral:rRNA from 1 species